CAUAUAAUCAACAUAUUAUUGAUGUAAUCAUUGAUCAAAGUUAUCUCAACGCCAAUCCAGUGUCUUUUCCUGCCUUACAAAUCCAGUGUAGGAAUGGUUGCCAAAGUCAUAGAAGUAUGGCUCCAAAAAAUUAUCUCGGCUCUCGUGAAUGCUGGUAGACUAGUCCCCUGCAGUGUUUUGCGCCGACUUGCCAACACCAACACCUUCGUCUCUACGGGAAGGAAUCAUCUUUUUUUCUACGGGAAGGAAUAGAUUAAAACAAUCAAUCAAGCAAGACCUAUUAUUUUGGCCUGAUCAUGCGCUGUUGAGAAGGGAGAACAAGAACAUGAGAACAUGAGAACACCAAGAGCAACAAAGGCACAGACAAGCGCAAGAUAAAAUUACGCCUAGGCAGGCCGACUUACUGAUCUUGCAACGUGGCAUACAAGUACCUUGAUGCAGCAUGCAUCCGGUAGUGUUCAAGUAGAAUGUCAGUCUCAUGGAAAGGAGUGCAGCAAGGGGACAGUGCGAGGUCGUGGUCAUGGAAAAGGAGGUGCAAGCAAUCACUAACAAGUCAAGGCACCAGCUGCAAGAAGAAGAAAGCCAUGGAGGGAGGGAUAAUCAAAACAGAGAGAUGAGAGUAUCUGCAACAGCGACACGCCGGGCCUGAAAGGGAAAUGCAGAGUUGGACAUGUACUACGUACAACAAGGCCGUCUGAGACAGAGGAUGAACAGAUGACGCACUAGCAGUGCAGCUAGGCGCCUUUAAGCGCAUCCCAACCACCGCUAAAACACGAACAAAAUCGGCACUUACAACGUUUUGUACUCCCUCCGUCUGACUUUCUAUUCACGCCGACAUAUAAGACGCCCUGAUACGGUUUUCAAUUAUGACAAGGAUACAUUCCCUUCUGAUUACGCGGUGCAGCACGCGCACGCCUGGUGCAGGCAGCUAAGCCAACCUGAGACUGACAUCCGCAGGUGUUACAUGUCACUCAACUUAAAAUCUUAAAUACAGGAAAUGCUUGGGAAUUACAGUAGCCACUAAGGUGCAAGGAAAAGGCCGUGGGCCUGAUAGGAGGCUAACACCUAAUGCUGCUAUUAAAUGAGAUUUAAGCUGGUAGUGCUGCGAUGUUUGUAAGAAGUAGCACAUGUCCUUGCAAAGUGCAUAAAGAAUAUUUCUCUGAAAAGUGCAUCAAGAAUAUGAUUAAAAAAAGAAAGAAAGAAAGAAAAAAGAAGAACAGGAAAACCAUAUCUGCACUAACUCUGAAGAUAGAGCAGUUCGGAAUAGCAUGUGCUUAGCGCAGCACUACAGGCAACCUCCUUUUUGAAAGAAAAAAAACACACAACUCAGAGAUAAAUAUUGGAAACUUGCUUACGGU
rnacentral:lncRNA from 1 species